AUACGGAGGGUGCAAGCGUUGUUCGGAAUUACUGGGCGUAAAGCGCGCGUAGGUGGUCUGUUAUGUCAGAUGUGAAAGUCCACGGCUCAACCGUGGAAGUGCAUUUGAAACUGGCAGACUUGAGUACUGGAGGGGGUAGUGGAAUUCCCGGUGUAGAGGUGAAAUUCGUAGAUAUCGGGAGGAAUACCGGUGGCGAAGGCGACUACCUGGCCAGAUACUGACACUGAGGUGCGAAAGCGUGGGGAGCGAACAGGAUUAGAUACCCUAGUAGUCC
rnacentral:rRNA from 1 species